UACGUAGGGGGCAAGCGUUUGUCCGGAUUUAUUGGGCGUAAAGAGCGUGUAGGCGGCCAAGCAGGUCCGCUGUGAAAACUCGAGGCUCAACCUCGAGACGUCGGUGGAAACCGUUUGGCUAGAGUCCGGAAGAGGAGAGUGGAAUUCCCGGUGUAGCGGUGAAAUGCGCAGAUAUCAGGAGGAACACCAAUAGCGAAGGCAGCUCGCUGGGACGGUACUGACGCUAAGGCGCGAAAGCGUGGGGAGCGAACGAGG
rnacentral:rRNA from 1 species